UGUAAGCGUAUACCAAAGUUGUUGCAGUUAAAACGCUCGUAGUCGGAAUUUGGCAGUUCCGGAUGUGUGCACGUCGUGUGCGCACUUCGCGGGGAUUGCUUUUGUGGUCUUGCGUAGGAUGAGGCACUUUUAUUAGUGAACGUCCUCACGCAACCACUUUUUACUGUGAGAAAAUCAGAGUGCUCAAAGCAGGCAUUUGCCGUGAAUGUAUUAGCAUGGAAUAAUAGAAUAGGACUUGGUUCUAUUUUGUUGGUUUGUUGGGACUGAGUAAUGAUUAAGAGGGACAGUUGGGGGCAUUUGUAUUUCGGUGCUAGAGGUGAAAUUCUUAGAUUACCGAAAGACAAACUGCUGCGAAAGCGUCUGCCAAGGAUAUUUUCAUUGA
rnacentral:rRNA from 1 species